rnacentral:lncRNA from 1 species
AAUGACUAAAAUGUAGACAUUUACACGCAUAGGCACAUUAAUGUUAUACAAAAUAUAAGAAAAGCAUGUUAGGUUGUGGGAAUAUGGGGUUUGAUAAUGGCUCCAAUGAACACAUGGCUCCAUGUGCUUUUAUACUUAUUUCGAUAUACAAAAAAAAAAAACUAUAUAUUAUAACCUUUCUUAAAUAAUAAUAUGUAACUAUUGACUAAAACCCAAAAAGGCAAUAAUUUAUUUUAAAUGGUCAGCUCAUAUUCAUUGGAUACAAUGCACUUUUCAUGUAAAAUAUUAUAAAUUCAUGUAAAAUAUUAUAAAAAAUGUGUUUGUGUUUCUACUACAAAGCAUGUGAGUGUUCC